rnacentral:lncRNA from 1 species
GAAUAGAAGAUAAUGAAAUUGGAAUAGAAGAUGAGAUACCACCUACACCUAGUAGUGGAAAUGUUGGUAGUAUUGGAGUUGGAGUUGCUAGGGCUACAAGGGGUAGAAGACCACCAGUUGCUCCAACUUCUACUCGUAAAAAAAAAGAAGUCCGGUUUGGAAAUUUUUUGAAAUAAUAGAAGGUACUGAUAGAGUUAAGUGCAAACUUUGCAAUGAAACUUUUAAACAUUUGAC